UACUUAGGGGGCAAGCGUUGUCCGGAAUUAUUGGGCGUAAAGCGCACGUAGGCGGCUUUUUAAGUCAGGGGUGAAAUCCUGGAGCUCAACUCCAGAACUGCCUUUGAUACUGAGAAGCUUGAGUCCGGGAGAGGUGAGUGGAACUGCGAGUGUAGAGGUGAAAUUCGUAGAUAUUCGCAAGAACACCAGUGGCGAAGGCGGCUCACUGGCCCGGUACUGACGCUGAGGUGCGAAAGCGUGGGGAGCAAACAGG
rnacentral:rRNA from 1 species